GAUGAACGCUGGCGGCGUGCCUAAUACAUGCAAGUCGAGCGAACAGACGAGGAGCUUGCUCCUCUGACGUUAGCGGCGGACGGGUGAGUAACACGUGGAUAACCUACCUAUAAGACUGGGAUAACUUCGGGAAACCGGAGUUAAUACCGGAUAAUAUAUUGAACCGCAUGGUUCAAUAGUGAAAGACGGUUUUGCUGUCACUUAUAGAUGGAUCCGCGCCGCAUUAGCUAGUUGGUAAGGUAACGGCUUACCAAGGCAACGAUGCGUAGCCGACCUGAGAGGGUGAUCGGCCACACUGGAACUGAGACACGGUCCAGACUCCUACGGGAGGCAGCAGUAGGGAAUCUUCCGCAAUGGGCGAAAGCUUGACGGAGCAACGCCGCGUGAGUGAUGAAGGUCUUCGGAUCGUAAAACUCUGUUAUUAGGGAAGAUCAAAUGUGUAAGUACCUAUGCACGUCUUGACGGUACCUAAUCAGAAAGCCACGGCUAACUACGUG
rnacentral:rRNA from 1 species